rnacentral:rRNA from 1 species
CUAGCGACUUCAGAGUUUGAUCCUGGCUCAGGACGAACGCUGGCGGCGUGCCUAACACAUGCAAGUCAACGGGGUAAUUUCUUCGGAGAUUACUUAGUGGCGAACGGGUGAGUAACGCGUGAGAAACCUGCCUUUCAGUGGGGGACAACAGUUGGAAACGACUGCUAAUACCGCAUGAUGUUUCGAGAGGGCAUCCUCUUGAAACCAAAGCUUAAUGUGCUGAAAGAUGGUCUCGCGUCUGAUUAGCUAGAUGGCGGGGUAACGGCCCACCAUGGCGACGAUCAGUAGCCGGUCUGAGAGGAUGAACGGCCACAUUGGGACUGAGAUACGGCCCAG